GGAUUAGAUACCCUGGUAGUCCACGCCGUAAACGAUGUCAACUAGCUGUUUGUGUUCUUGAAACGUGAGUAGCGUAGCUAACGCGCUAAGUUGACCGCCUGGGGAGUACGGCCGCAAGGUUAAAACUCAAAUGAAUUGACGGGGGCCCGCACAAGCGGUGGAGCAUGUGGUUUAAUUCGAUGCAACGCGAAGAACCUUACCAUCCCUUGACAUCCACAGAACUUAGCAGAGAUGCUUUGGUGCCUUCGGGAACUGUGAGACAGGUGCUGCAUGGCUGUCGUCAGCUCGUGCCG
rnacentral:rRNA from 1 species